rnacentral:rRNA from 1 species
CGGGGUGAGUAACGUGUGGGCAACCUGCCCUGCACUGGGGAAUAAUCAUUGGAAACGAUGACUAAUACCGCAUACGGUUCCUGGGAGGCAUCUUCCGGGGAAAGAAAGGAUUUAUUCGGUGCAGGAUGGGCCCGCAUCUGAUUAGCUAGUUGGUGAGAUAACAGCCCACCAAGGCGACGAUCAGUAGCCGACCUGAGAGGGUGACCGGCCACAUUGGGACUGAGACACGGCCCAAACUCCUACGGAAGGCAGCAG